GAACGGGUGAGUAACACGUGAGCAACCUACCCUCAACUUCGGGAUAAGCCUCGGAAACGGGGUCUAAUACCGGAUAUCACUUCUAAUCUCAUGGUUUGGGGUUGAAAGUUCUGGCGGUUGGGGAUGGGCUCGCGGCCUAUCAGCUUGUUGGUGGGGUAAUGGCCUACCAAGGCGUCGACGGGUAGCCGGCCUGAGAGGGCGACCGGCCACACUGGGACUGAGACACGGCCCAGACUCCUACGGGAGGCAGCAGUGGGGAAUAUUGCGCAAUGGACGAAAGUCUGACGCAGCAACGCCGCGUGAGGGAUGACGGCCUUCGGGUUGUAAACCUCUUUCAGCAGGGACGAAGCGAGAGUGACGGUACCUGCAGAAGAAGGACCGGCCAACUACGUGCCAGCAGCCGCGGUAAUACGUAGGGUCCGAGCGUUGUCCGGAAUUAUUGGGCGUAAAGGGCUCGUAGGCGGUUCGUCACGUCGGGAGUGAAAACUCGGAGCUCAACUCCGAGCCUGCUUCCGAUACGGGCAGACUAGAGGUAGGCAGGGGAGAGCGGAACUCCUGGUGUAGCGGUGGAAUGCGCAGAUAUCAGGAAGAACACCGGUGGCGAAGGCGGCUCUCUGGGCCUUACCUGACGCUGAGGAGCGAAAGCGUGGGUAGCGAACAGGAUUAGAUACCCUGGUAGUCCACGCCGUAAACGUUGGGCGCUAGGUGUGGGGGACAUUCCACGUCCUCCGUGCCGCAGCUAACGCAUUAAGCGCCCCGCCUGGGGAGUACGGCCGCAAGGCUAAAACUCAAAGGAAUUGACGGGGGCCCGCACAAGCGGCGGAGCAUGCGGAUUAAUUCGAUGCAACGCGAAGAACCUUACCUGGGUUUGACAUAUAGGGAAAUCCUCCAGAGAUGGGGGGUCCGUAAGGGUCCUAUACAGGUGGUGCAUGGCUGUCGUCAGCUCGUGUCGUGAGAUGUUGGGUUAAGUCCCGCAACGAGCGCAACCCUCGUCCUAUGUUGCCAGCACGUUAUGGUGGGGACUCAUAGGAGACUGCCGGGGUCAACUCGGAGGAAGGUGGGGAUGACGUCAAGUCAUCAUGCCCCUUAUGUCCAGGGCUUCACGCAUGCUACAAUGGCCGGUACAAAGGGCUGCGAAACCGCAAGGUGGAGCGAAUCCCAAAAAGCCGGUCUCAGUUCGGAUUGGGGUCUGCAACUCGACCCCAUGAAGUCGGAGUCGCUAGUAAUCGCAGAUCAGCAACGCUGCGGUGAAUACGUUCCCGGGCCUUGUACACACCGCCCGUCACGUCAUGAAAGUCGG
rnacentral:rRNA from 1 species